GGGCCUAUAGCUCAGUCGGUUAGAGCAGGGGACUCAUAAUCCCUUGGUCCACAGUUCGAGUCUGUGUGGGCCCACCA
rnacentral:tRNA from 1 species